ACACAUGGGUGGCGACUGUCUAAAUAUAUUUUUCCUAACUUUUUAAUCAAGUGAAAAUACUUGUGCUAAUAAAAAAGACGAGAAGACCCUAGAAACUUGAAAAGUUUUUUGUUGGGGCGACAGAGUUACAUGUAACUAAUUUUAUUAAACAUGACAUUAAUUAGAAAGGAUAAGUUACUCUAGGGAUAACAGCAUAAUUUUAAUAGUUUGUGACCUCGAUGUUGGAUUAGGUACUAUACCCUUUAGGCAAGGGUAUAAGAUGCUCUGUUCGAGCAAAUACACCUACAUGA
rnacentral:rRNA from 1 species